CAUUAGUURGUKGGUUGGGUAARGGCCUACCAAGACUAUGAUGKGUGGCUGGACUGAGAGGUUGAACAGCCACAUUGGGACUGAGACACGGCCCAAACUCCUACGGGAGGCAGCAGUAGGGAAUUUUCGGCAAUGGAGGAAACUCUGACCGAGCAACGCCGCGUGAACGAUGAAGUAUUUCGGUAUGUAAAGUUCUUUUAUUGAAGAAGAAAAAAUAGUGGAAAAACUAUCUUGACGCUAUUCAAUGAAUAAGCCCCGGCAAACUAUGUGCCAGCAGCCGCGGUAAUACAUAGGGGGCGAGCGUUAUCCGGAAUUAUUGGGCGUAAAGGGUGCGUAGGCGGUUUAAUAAGUCUAUAGUUUAAUUUCAGUGCUUAACACUGUCCUGCUAUAGAAACUAUUAAACUGGAGUGAGAUAGAGGCAAGUGGAAUUCCAUGUGUAGCGGUAAAAUGCGUAAAUAUAUGGAGGAACACCAGAGGCGUAGGCGGCUUGCUGGGUCUUUACUGACGCUGAGGCACGAAAGCGUGGGGAGCAAACAGGAUUAGAUACCCUGGUAGUCCACGCCGUAAACGAUGAGUACUAAGUGUCGGGGUUACUCGGUACUGAAGUUAACACAUUAAGUACUCCGCCUGAGUAGUACGUACGCAAGUAUGAAACUUAAAGGAAUUGACGGGACUCCGCACAAGCGGUGGAUCAUGUUGUUUUAUUCGAAGAUACACGAAAAACCUUACCAGGUCUUGACAUACUCUGCAAAGCUAUAGCAAUAUAGUGGAGGUUAUCAGGGAUACAGGUGGUGCAUGGUUGUCGUCAGCUCGUGUCGUGAGAUGUUAGGUUAAGUCCUAAAACGAGCGCAACCCUUGUCACUAGUUGCCAGCAUGUUAUGAUGGGCACUUUAGUGAGACUGCCAAUGAAAAAUUGGAGGAAGGUGAGGAUCACGUCAAAUCAUCAUGCCCCUUAUGAUCUGGGCUACAANCGUGAUNC
rnacentral:rRNA from 1 species